rnacentral:rRNA from 1 species
GCCGGAGGGAAACCGAGUCUUAACCGGGCGUUAAGUUGCAGGGUAUAGACCCGAAACCCGGUGAUCUAGCCAUGGGCAGGUUGAAGGUUGGGUAACACUAACUGGAGGACCGAACCGACUAAUGUUGAAAAAUUAGCGGAUGACCUGUGGCUGGGGGUGAAAGGCCAAUCAAACCGGGAGAUAGCUGGUUCUCCCCGAAAGCUAUUUAGGUAGCGCCUCGUGAAUUCAUCUCCGGGGGUAGAGCACUGUUUCGGCUAGGGGGCCAUCCCGGCUUACCAACCCGAUGCAAACUGCGAAUACCGGAGAAUGUUAUCACGGGAGACACACGGCGGGUGCUAACGUCCGUCGUGAAGAGGGAAACAACCCAGACCGCCAGCUAAGGUCCCAAAGUCAUGGUUAAGUGGGAAACGAUGUGGGAAGGCCCAGACAGCCAGGAUGUUGGCUUAGAAGCAGCCAUCAUUUAAAGAAAGCGUAAUAGCUCACUGGUCGAGUCGGCCUGCGCGGAAGAUGUAACGGGGCUAAACCAUGCACCGAAGCUGCGGCAGCGACACUGUGUGUUGUUGGGUAGGGGAGCGUUCUGUAAGCCUGUGAAGGUGUGUCGUGAGGCAUGCUGGAGGUAUCAGAAGUGCGAAUGCUGACAUAAGUAACGAUAAAGCGGGUGAAAAGCCCGCUCGCCGGAAGACCAAGGGUUCCUGUCCAACGUUAAUCGGGGCAGGGUGAGUCGACCCCUAAGGCGAGGCCGAAAGGCGUAGUCGAUGGGAAACGGGUUAAUAUUCCCGUACUUGGUGUUACUGCGAAGGGGGGACGGAGAAGGCUAUGUUGGCCGGGCGACGGUUGUCCCGGUUUAAGCGUGUAGGUGUGUGUUCCAGGUAAAUCCGGUUCACUUUAACACUGAGGCGUGACGACGAGGCACUACGGUGCUGAAGCAACAAAUGCCCUGCUUCCAGGAAAAGCCUCUAAGCAUCAGGUAACAUCAAAUCGUACCCCAAACCGACACAGGUGGUCAGGUAGAGAAUACCAAGGCGCUUGAGAGAACUCGGGUGAAGGAACUAGGCAAAAUGGUGCCGUAACUUCGGGAGAAGGCACGCUGACACGUAGGUGAAGUGAUUUACUCAUGGAGCUGAAGUCAGUCGAAGAUACCAGCUGGCUGCAACUGUUUAUUAAAAACACAGCACUGUGCAAACACGAAAGUGGACGUAUACGGUGUGACGCCUGCCCGGUGCCGGAAGGUUAAUUGAUGGGGUCAGCGCAAGCGAAGCUCCUGAUCGAAGCCCCGGUAAACGGCGGCCGUAACUAUAACGGUCCUAAGGUAGCGAAAUUCCUUGUCGGGUAAGUUCCGACCUGCACGAAUGGCGUAAUGAUGGCCAGGCUGUCUCCACCCGAGACUCAGUGAAAUUGAACUCGCUGUGAAGAUGCAGUGUACCCGCGGCAAGACGGAAAGACCCCGUGAACCUUUACUAUAGCUUGACACUGAACAUUGAGCCUUGAUGUGUAGGAUAGGUGGGAGGCUUUGAAGUGUGGACGCCAGUCUGCAUGGAGCCGACCUUGAAAUACCACCCUUUAAUGUUUGAUGUUCUAACGUGGACCCGUUACCCGGGUUGCGGACAGUGUCUGGUGGGUAGUUUGACUGGGGCGGUCUCCUCCUAAAGAGUAACGGAGGAGCACGAAGGUUGGCUAAUCCUGGUCGGACAUCAGGAGGUUAGUGCAAUGGCAUAAGCCAGCUUGACUGCGAGCGUGACGGCGCGAGCAGGUGCGAAAGCAGGUCAUAGUGAUCCGGUGGUUCUGAAUGGAAGGGCCAUCGCUCAACGGAUAAAAGGUACUCCGGGGAUAACAGGCUGAUACCGCCCAAGAGUUCAUAUCGACGGCGGUGUUUGGCACCUCGAUGUCGGCUCAUCACAUCCUGGGGCUGAAGUAGGUCCCAAGGGUAUGGCUGUUCGCCAUUUAAAGUGGUACGCGAGCUGGGUUUAGAACGUCGUGAGACAGUUCGGUCCCUAUCUGCCGUGGGCGCUGGAGAACUGAGGGGGGCUGCUCCUAGUACGAGAGGACCGGAGUGGACGCAUCACUGGUGUUCGGGUUGUCAUGCCAAUGGCACUGCCCGGUAGCUAAAUGCGGAAGAGAUAAGUGCUGAAAGCAUCUAAGCACGAAACUUGCCCCGA